rnacentral:rRNA from 1 species
AGCGUACACGGUGGAUGCCCUGGCAGUCAGAGGCGAUGAAGGACGUGCUAAUCUGCGAUAAGCGUCGGUAAGGUGAUAUGAACCGUUAUAACCGGCGAUUUCCGAAUGGGGAAACCCAGUGUGAUUCGUCACACUAUCAUUAACUGAAUCCAUAGGUUAAUGAGGCGAACCGGGGGAACUGAAACAUCUAAGUACCCCGAGGAAAAGAAAUCAACCGAGAUUCCCCCAGUAGCGGCGAGCGAACGGGGAGGAGCCCAGAGCCUGAAUCAGUGUGUGUGUUAGUGGAAGCGUCUGGAAAGGCGCGCGAUACAGGGUGACAGCCCCGUACACAAAAAUGCACAUGCUGUGAGCUCGAUGAGUAGGGCGGGACACGUGGUAUCCUGUCUGAAUAUGGGGGGACCAUCCUCCAAGGCUAAAUACUCCUGACUGACCGAUAGUGAACCAGUACCGUGAGGGAAAGGCGAAAAGAACCCCGGCGAGGGGAGUGAAAAAGAACCUGAAACCGUGUACGUACAAGCAGUGGGAGCACAGAGCAAUCUGUGUGACUGCGUACCUUUUGUAUAAUGGGUCAGCGACUUAUAUUCUGUAGCAAGGUUAACCGAAUAGGGGAGCCGAAGGGAAACCGAGUCUUAACUGGGCGUUAAGUUGCAGGGUAUAGACCCGAAACCCGGUGAUCUAGCCAUGGGCAGGUUGAAGGUUGGGUAACACUAACUGGAGGACCGAACCGACUAAUGUUGAAAAAUUAGCGGAUGACUUGUGGCUGGGGGUGAAAGGCCAAUCAAACCGGGAGAUAGCUGGUUCUCCCCGAAAGCUAUUUAGGUAGCGCCUCGUGAAUUCAUCUCCGGGGGUAGAGCACUGUUUCGGCAAGGGGGUCAUCCCGACUUACCAACCCGAUGCAAACUGCGAAUACCGGAGAAUGUUAUCACGGGAGACACACGGCGGGUGCUAACGUCCGUCGUGAAGAGGGAAACAACCCAGACCGCCAGCUAAGGUCCCAAAGUCAUGGUUAAGUGGGAAACGAUGUGGGAAGGCCCAGACAGCCAGGAUGUUGGCUUAGAAGCAGCCAUCAUUUAAAGAAAGCGUAAUAGCUCACUGGUCGAGUCGGCCUGCGCGGAAGAUGUAACGGGGCUAAACCAUGCACCGAAGCUGCGGCAGCGACACUAUGUGUUGUUGGGUAGGGGAGCGUUCUGUAAGCCUGUGAAGGUGUGCUGUGAGGCAUGCUGGAGGUAUCAGAAGUGCGAAUGCUGACAUAAGUAACGAUAAAGCGGGUGAAAAGCCCGCUCGCCGGAAGACCAAGGGUUCCUGUCCAACGUUAAUCGGGGCAGGGUGAGUCGACCCCUAAGGCGAGGCCGAAAGGCGUAGUCGAUGGGAAACAGGUUAAUAUUCCUGUACUUGGUGUUACUGCGAAGGGGGGACGGAGAAGGCUAUGUUGGCCGGGCGACGGUUGUCCCGGUUUAAGCGUGUAGGCUGGUUUUCCAGGCAAAUCCGGAAAAUCAAGGCUGAGGCGUGAUGACGAGGCACUACGGUGCUGAAGCAACAAAUGCCCUGCUUCCAGGAAAAGCCUCUAAGCAUCAGGUAACAUCAAAUCGUACCCCAAACCGACACAGGUGGUCAGGUAGAGAAUACCAAGGCGCUUGAGAGAACUCGGGUGAAGGAACUAGGCAAAAUGGUGCCGUAACUUCGGGAGAAGGCACGCUGAUAUGUAGGUGAAGCGACUUGCUCGUGGAGCUGAAAUCAGUCGAAGAUACCAGCUGGCUGCAACUGUUUAUUAAAAACACAGCACUGUGCAAACACGAAAGUGGACGUAUACGGUGUGACGCCUGCCCGGUGCCGGAAGGUUAAUUGAUGGGGUCAGCGCAAGCGAAGCUCUUGAUCGAAGCCCCGGUAAACGGCGGCCGUAACUAUAACGGUCCUAAGGUAGCGAAAUUCCUUGUCGGGUAAGUUCCGACCUGCACGAAUGGCGUAAUGAUGGCCAGGCUGUCUCCACCCGAGACUCAGUGAAAUUGAACUCGCUGUGAAGAUGCAGUGUACCCGCGGCAAGACGGAAAGACCCCGUGAACCUUUACUAUAGCUUGACACUGAACAUUGAGCCUUGAUGUGUAGGAUAGGUGGGAGGCUUUGAAGUGUGGACGCCAGUCUGCAUGGAGCCGACCUUGAAAUACCACCCUUUAAUGUUUGAUGUUCUAACGUUGACCCGUAAUCCGGGUUGCGGACAGUGUCUGGUGGGUAGUUUGACUGGGGCGGUCUCCUCCUAAAGAGUAACGGAGGAGCACGAAGGUUGGCUAAUCCUGGUCGGACAUCAGGAGGUUAGUGCAAUGGCAUAAGCCAGCUUGACUGCGAGCGUGACGGCGCGAGCAGGUGCGAAAGCAGGUCAUAGUGAUCCGGUGGUUCUGAAUGGAAGGGCCAUCGCUCAACGGAUAAAAGGUACUCCGGGGAUAACAGGCUGAUACCGCCCAAGAGUUCAUAUCGACGGCGGUGUUUGGCACCUCGAUGUCGGCUCAUCACAUCCUGGGGCUGAAGUAGGUCCCAAGGGUAUGGCUGUUCGCCAUUUAAAGUGGUACGCGAGCUGGGUUUAGAACGUCGUGAGACAGUUCGGUCCCUAUCUGCCGUGGGCGCUGGAGAACUGAGGGGGGCUGCUCCUAGUACGAGAGGACCGGAGUGGACGCAUCACUGGUGUUCGGGUUGUCAUGCCAAUGGCACUGCCCGGUAGCUAAAUGCGGAAGAGAUAAGUGCUGAAAGCAUCUAAGCACGAAACUUGCCCCGAGAUGAGUUCUCCCUGACUCCUUGA